UUGCAAUCCUAAAUUCCCAAGAUGCGGGCAUAAAGAAGAGACAAUCAAUCAUGUCCUCUUCAAAUGCCCCUUUGCUAGAAUAACAUGGCCCUGUCCCCUGAAGCUCUUCUCUUUUACCCUGAGCCAACUGAAUCCUUGUUUGAAAAUCUGGCUGUAUGUUUAUUCUCACGUGAAAGAAAUUCAGACAAAAAUUGAUCCCUGCAAAAUUUGGCCUUGGCUCAUUUGGAGAAUAUGGAAAGCAUGCAAUGACUUCUGAUUCUCUGGUUUUUAAAAGAUGAUCUCGAAUCAGUUUUUGAGAAGAAAGGCAUUGAUGCACAAAAUGGUAUGAUUACAACAAGAUUUACCCCAGACUUCACUCUGUCUUGGAUGCAAAAGCAUCAGCCCUCACAUGGGCCAAGGCUUAGGUUUACAACCGGCUUUGAACAUGUUGUCUUUGAGAGAGCUUUCCAGACAUUAAUACAAGAUAUCAGGGACCUUCACCUUUGGCCGACACUCAAGCAGGGAUAUACAAGCGAAAUAUUAGGAAUAAGGAGAGGAAGACUGAAGUCGAGAUUUAGUUUUACUAGAAGGGAAGGAAAUGAAUAUGCUGAUUUGAUCGCAGAACAAGCAGAACAAGCAUCUUCUUACCCACUUUAUUUUGUUUUUCUUAGAUAAUUGUACCUCCAAUUGGUUUAUAC
rnacentral:lncRNA from 1 species